CUCGUCCACAAUCCGAAUCUCACGAACGACUCUCGGCAACGGAUAUCUCGGCUCUCGCAUCGAUGAAGAACGUAGCGAAAUGCGAUACUUGGUGUGAAUUGCAGAAUCCCGUGAACCAUCGAGUCUUUGAACGCAAGUUGCGCCCUAGGCCACCGGGCCGAGGGCACGCCUGCCUGGGCGUCACGCAUCGCGUCGCCCGCCCACACCCCGCCCCCNGCGGCGGGACGUGUGCGGAGCGGAGUCUGGCCCCCCGUGUCCCCUCYGGGGCGCGGCCGGCCCAAAGGCAAAGGCCCCCUGUGUGGCGAGCGUCACGACGAGUGGUGGUAGAAGCCACUGUGCCAUUAGUCCGGACGUCGUGCYCGCGUCGCCCCGCCCCGGGAGCCGACGACCCUGAAGAUGCGCUWCGGCGCUCCGACCGCGACCCCAG
rnacentral:rRNA from 1 species